GCAGGAAGAGAGACGCGGACAGAAUUAGAGGGAGAGCAGGAAUUUCAGCUGCUACUGUUCUCAGGGCAUGUGAGCUAUUUCCAGCAGGAGACUGUCUCCAGUCAGAGACCUCCCUUUCCUCCGCUCUCUAGGGGCUACCUAUCAACAUAGGCUCUCCUACUACAAGAUUAACGCUGAAAGAGUAACACCGAGCAAGUAUCUCAGCAUCAGCUGCGUGUGCCACAAAGUGACACACUAAGCGGUUUAUGACGGAAAGGUACAGGUCAAGGCAGACGGAUCCAAACAUGAACCCUCACUGCAGGUUUCUAACAGCGUAGCUGGCAAUGACUUAAACACACAACAUCUGCUGCUAUGGUGUCACAGCUUUGCAAGGUGUCCGUCCCAAUGGGAAUUUCCGAGUUAACCCUUUGAGUGCAUCCUACAAUCCUUGCAGUGGGUAGUACAGAGCUGGUUCAACACUGUGCGUCAUGUUCCUGGCUUGGAAUUGUUUUACAUUCCCACUUCCCAAUUGCGGGAGCUUGUUAAACUGAAAGAGAUCAUACUUUGCAUUCUUGAGGAAGUGUUUGUGAAAACUGUCUGCCUUGCUUUGUAUGCUGGCUGCUAGUACUCUUGUGUUUUGGUUCCACAUGUUUAAAAACAAUGAAAACAAAGAGGUUUCUAUUUCUAUUGA